CAUUGACUGUAAUACUGUAUGACAAUACAACAUUCUGCUGCAGUGAUUCAUGCACUUCACACAACAGGGUGGAUCCCUGGUUUUCUGAUUUUGUUUCUCCAGCGAGCACAGUUGUUUAUAUUGUCAUGCCUGUUGCAUGUCCCAUUUGUGCUGGUCACUUUGAGGAAUUGUAAAUAUACUACACCACGGCACUAUGACAGGUGGCCAUUCAAUAACUCAAUGCAUCUUUCCCUCAUCACUGACAGUGAGAUACAGAUUCGAACUGUGACCCACUCCAACCUUGGAAGUAGAGAAAAGCAAGUGAAUUGUCUGCCUCAUGCCAUUAGACAAAGGAGGGGAGAACAAAGGAGGGAAGACAUGGACCUUUGAUGAAAAUAUCAUCGUUUUGGUUACAACACAAUGAUUUAGAACAGGUGCCAUUGGCAUGGUCAAAGGCUUGGCAAGGAAGAGGAUGUUACCUCCGCACAUGUCCUACGGUAUGCCUGAGGAGGAAGCCACAGAGGAUACACUGGCAAGGCUGCCACUUGCACAUUCCACCAGCUCAAAUACUGACUCAUGAAAACCACAAAGACAAAUGAACACCUUUGAACAAAUGAAAUUUGAACAGUAUUUUGAUCACCUUGGAGAAACCAUAAACAAAAGUAGCCAAUUUUAUCGAAUGAUUCCCAAAUGAAGAAAUGACGAACAAGAUUUUGCACUUUGUAUCUUUUAAAGGUUGUAAGGUUUCUGGCCUCCACUAGCUUCCCAGGCAGUUCAUUAUCACUCUCUGAGUAAAAAAGUUCUUUCUUAAAUCACCUCUGAAUCUCUGCCUCUUACCCUCAUGAUUGACCCCUUAUCUAAAAUUGAAAAAGUUCAGAUUAAUUUCAGAUUAGGCUUCUUAAGAAUUUAGCAACACCACAGUUGAUCAAA